rnacentral:rRNA from 1 species
CUACAUGAAGCUGGAAUCGCUAGUAAUCGCGGAUCAGAAUGCCGCGGUGAAUACGUUCCCGGGUCUUGUACACACCGCCCGUCACACCAUGGGAGUCGGAAAUGCCCGAAGUCUGUGACCUAACCGUAAGGGAGGAGCAGCCGAAGGCAGGUCGGAUGACUGGGGUGAAGUCGUAACAAGGUAAC